rnacentral:rRNA from 1 species
GAUCAUGGCUCAGCACGAACGCUGGCGGCAUGCCUAACACAUGCAAGUCGAACGCCCUCUUCGGAGGGAGUGGCGCACGGGUGCGUAACGCGUGGGAACCUGCCCUUAGGUUCGGAAUAACUCAGAGAAAUUUGAGCUAAUACCGGAUAAUGUCUUCGGACCAAAGAUUUAUCGCCUUUAGAUGGGCCCGCGUUGGAUUAGCUAGUUGGUGGGGUAAAGGCCUACCAAGGCGACGAUCCAUAGCUGGUCUGAGAGGAUGAUCAGCCACACUGGGACUGAGACACGGCCCAGACUCCUACGGGAGGCAGCAGUGGGGAAUAUUGGACAAUGGGCGCAAGCCUGAUCCAGCAAUGCCGCGUGAGUGAUGAAGGCCUUAGGGUUGUAAAGCUCUUUUACCCGAGAUGAUAAUGACAGUAUCGGGAGAAUAAGCUCCGGCUAACUCCGUG